CACGUAGGCACCAAGCGUUGUCCGGAUUUAUUGGGCGUAAAGAGCUCGUAGGCGGUUCGGUAAGUCGGAUGUGAAAUCUCCACGCUCAACGUGGAGGGGCCAUUCGAUACUGCCGUGACUCGAGUCCGGUAGGGGAGUGUGGAAUUCCCGGUGUAGCGGUGAAAUGCGCAGAGAUCGGGAGGAACACCCGUAGCGAAGGCGGCACUCUGGGCCGGUACUGACGCUGAGGAGCGAAAGCGUGGGGAGCGAACAGG
rnacentral:rRNA from 1 species